rnacentral:lncRNA from 1 species
ACAAAGCCAACACCAAGAACAAGCUACCGUGAGCUUGGAGAAGAGGAAAGGCAGCAUCGGGUGAGCUAGGAGAAGAGAAAAAAAAAAAGAAAAGAAAGGGAACUUUGUUGGAGAGUUGGAGCUCAAGGAGCAUCUCCUCAAAGAAUCGGCCAGCUAGGGGGUAUGAUUAAGGAUUUGAGGCUAAACCAAUUUCCUAACUCUUGAUUCUUGUGGUAAAACAUAUGAUUGAUGAUUGGAAGUUGAAUCUAACUAGCUAGGAACUGAUUUGAACGGCUGGAAAUUCGUUUGAUUGGGUGGAAUUUAAAUGAACUUCAAGUGUUCCUUUUCUGUCAAGAUUUCUGUCCGAAAUUAGUCUGCAAAUUCGAACAUGUUGGGAGCUGAUUUGGCCUUAGUACAAAACAUGAAAGUUGUAGGGAAUGAUGUUUUAUAGUUGUCUGUAAAAUUUCAGCUCAAUCGGAGCAACGUAGCCUGUGAAAGGACUAAAAUACCCCUACUUCCCUGUAUUUAUCCGAAACUGAUAAUCAGCUUCUGUAAUUGGAUGUUUUGACCAGGAAUACUACUGAUUUGUUAUUGAUGUCUUCUUAAGACUUAUAGACUUGUGUCUUAGCUUUCUAAUGGCUUUGGAAUUACCUGAAUUGGAGUUGUGUGUGCUAAGAUAUGAGUGAAUAAAGCAGGACUGCUAGUUGAUUUCUGCAGUGAAUUUCAAACUAGAAAAUCUGGAGAUGUUUUGCGUAAAUAUUUGACCUAGUUAGGGUAGAGAACUGGACUGAGUGGUCUUCAUGAAAGUUAUAGGUCUUUGUCUUAGCGUUUCAACGCCUCUAAGAACACCUUAAAGGCGACUUUGGUAGCCUGUGAUAUGCGCCAUUUAAAGGUUGUACGGUUAAUUAGCCGAUUAGUUGGAACUUGGUUCUGGGAAUUGGGAAUUUGACUAGGUUACACUAGAAUUUGGACUAAGUGAUCUUCAUCAAAAUUGUAGCCCUCUGUCUUAGCUUCGAAAUGGUAUAAAUUACAUUCCAAUCCGAUAAGCGUAGCGUCGGAUGUGUCCGUUACGCAAAACCCGUCAAAUCUGUCUUUUGUUAAGUUUCAUUUCGCAUUUGUUAUUAGCUCGAUUUCUAUACUGUAUUGUUUUGAGCCUAUGGAAUGGCUUUUGAAAUGAAUUUGGUUGUGGGUAACCUUGGUUUUGAUGAGAAAAAGAUAUGAAGCCAUAAAUGGCUGGAAAUAGGAAAAUACAAAGGGCGUGCUGCCCAAAUUUUCGCUCGCAGUGCUAAGUUUCUAUUUGAAACUUGUAUAUUUUUAUUUGCAAAUACUAUAACCAUUUUUCCAUCUUAAAACAUGAUCAUUCUUCAAUUGGAAACUCCAAAUGUUUACUUACUCUUACCAAAUAAAGAGGAAUGGUUUAGGGUUUUCUUGAGUAUUUUUGUCCUCCCUCUUUUUCUUGAAGUCUAUAAUAUCUACUUGAAUAUAAAAAUGAUUUUUGAACCAUAUAAACGAUUCCGAAAACAAUAUUUCUUAGCCUAUCUAGUUGGAUUCGACUUAUCUUUGGCUUCAAGUGUUUACAUUAGAAAAUUUUAUAGCCCUUUUGAGUUUGGUUUUACGUUUGGUCUAUGAAACCCUAGUUAUUUUAUCCACGGUCCAAAUGUCCUCGUUUCACUUUAAAGUUUCUUUAUACGUUCUACUCAUCAUUUGUAGAGUUCUUUGAUUUCACCUAAUUGUUUGGGCUAGAUGAGUUGUAAUAUUCUUUCUUAUUUAAUUUUAGUUUUCUCGGUGACUAAGGAUAUUUGGCACGUUAUUUUGCGUACAUAUAGCUGAGUGUUCCUUAUUUGUUAUAUUUCCUUGACUUAUUGGCUUGUUAUUAUUGAUUGAUAAUGUGUUAAGUGCUUUCAAUGAUUGUUAAAACGAGUUUUCUAGGCGAGUGUGUACUUUAUCGCACUCGACCUAAAUAUAAAUGUGAAAUUUUCAAUGAUUAAAUGAUUAAAUGCUAGUUGCGCAUGAAUGUAAGCUAUUUGGCUGAACUAGGCCCUGCCCUUCGUUACCGAUCGACUCGAGCCAGAAGCGGACUCGGUCGAGCGAUAUGCGUGACGCUGGGUGUGAACGUUGGUAUACUCGAGUAUUACCUUGUAGGUUGGUGGAGCCUGGCCAAAGGCCAGGAAAGGGGUGAAUGAAACGAAAGAACGAACGAGGGUUUUACUUACAAAAAAUGCAAUCUUCAAAAGUAUGAAGGAAUAAGGGGAAAUGUCAGGAGAACGAACGAACGAACGAACGAACGAACGAACGAAUUUAUGGCUCCCAGUGAGCCGUAUCCUUUUAAUGUAUGUGUUAUUAUCGCUUUCCAUUUUAAAUGUUUCUUGAAUUAUUAAUAUUCUAUGUUUAAUGUAUGGAUUAAUUAUUUGAUUAUGUGUUCGGAACCUCACUGGGCUUUUAGCUCAUCCCUUUAGUUUGUUUUCCUUAACAGGGGAAGGCACGCAAGGAUGAGAGCUUGGUAUAGACUAGCUUGGUCUAACUCUUUGUUUUGUAAUGGUUCUCGCCCUAAUGCUUGGCACGGGCUGGUUGUAUGAAGAAUUGAGAACCUUUAUAUAUUUGAUGAUUGUACUCCCUUUUGAGAUAGAAAUGUAUAUGUAAGUUUCACUUAAGUUUUGGAUUGUUGUAUGUUAUUCCUUUGGUUGUAUUCCGGACUUGAUUAAGGAACGACUGAGUCC